GAUGAACGCUGGCGGCGUGCUUAACACAUGCAAGUCGAACGGUGAACGAGGGAGCCUGCUCCCUCCGGAUCAGUGGCGAACGGGUGAGUAACACGUGAGCAAUCUGCCCUGGACUCUGGGAUAAGCGUUGGAAACGACGUCUAAUACCGGAUACGAGGCGUGGGGGCAUCCCCAACGCCUGGAAAGAACUUCGGUCCAGGAUGAGCUCGCGGCCUAUCAGCUAGUUGGUGAGGUAACGGCUCACCAAGGCGACGACGGGUAGCCGGCCUGAGAGGGUGACCGGCCACACUGGGACUGAGACACGGCCCAGACUCCUACGGGAGGCAGCAGUGGGGAAUAUUGCACAAUGGGCGCAAGCCUGAUGCAGAAACGCCGCGUGAGGGACGACGGCCUUCGGGUUAUAAACCUCUUUUAGCAGGGAAGAAGCGAAAGUGACGGUACCUGCAGAAAAAGCACCGGCUAACUACGUGCCAGCCGCCGCUGUAAGAC
rnacentral:rRNA from 1 species